UGUGUGAAUAUGACAUUCUACACGUUCCUUUCACCAACUAGAUACAGAUUCUAAUGUUAAAAAAUCACACUGCCACAUCAUUUUAGAGUAAGAACAUCUAAGAAAAUACCUAAUCCAGUCCUACACCCCAGCAGGAACUGCGAUGCACACUCCCCGAAAAAGUCUGCAAUGAGUUCCAGCCACUCCCCUCCCCUUCUACUGCACCACAGCUCUACUGCUACCACCACUUCUGAGGAUGAACUAACCUACUAGCAUGAACUCGAAUCACAGUUGUCUUCUCCAUGGCUACUGUUUCUCGGCAACAUUCUGACCUAAAAUGUUGCCAAUCUCAGCAAUUUUCUGUUUUCUGAAAACUUUAUAGUUUCUUUUCGACAUCCACAAGCAUCUCCAGAAUUUAAAACCAAACCUAUGAGACUUCAAAACCUGUGGUUUUUUUUUCCCCAUGGUGUAUCACAAUGCCUUUACCUGAUAAACUUUAGGAGUGUUUCCAACAUAGUAAAGACAAACUUGACAAGUAAAUAAAUCCCCUUGUGGAUAUCCUUAGAUCUCAGAUGUUUGUAUAUCUAAAGGAAUUUUUCUGGUUCUCAGUUCAACUGACCUUCAAGAGAACAUUAUUUUAAAUUUCCCAACAUAACAGGAAAAAAAUUCUAUGUAGCCAAGUCACCAGUUUAGUUUUAAAGAAUUUACUAAUCUUUACUUUUAAACCAAAUAUUUAAAAGGACAAAAACAAAUUAUAUUUAAAUGCUUUUCUAGAAAAGUAAAGGUAUCACAAUGAUUCCUCUCCAGAUUCUGACUCACAAAUGUAAAGAUUAAAAUACUUACGCAUGCGGGCAGAUAUAUUUGAUAUGUGAACUUCUGAUACCCGCGAAGGCUUCUGCCCAUCCAUGCCUGGAGGGAAAUUACGUGAAUAAUGCCAUUAGAUACUGUUUUAAAUCCCAAUAAAUUAGUAACGGAAUAGUACUUUAAAAAACUUGCAAGGAUAAAUGUAGCUCUUUAUAAUACCAUAAAAGUAUGGGCCGUCAAUGCUAUUAAAACGCCACAACAACCCAAAGGCUACUAAGCUUUGUCUACAAAUAAAGAUGAACUCUCCUGAUUUCUGAAGAGCAGUGUGUUUUCUUUCACAGAUUUCCACAGGGCUUUACUAUUUACAAAAUACAGGUAUAUUUAUCUCUCUAUAACCUCACAACAAAGUAAACAAGACAGAUAAUAUAAAUCAUAUUUUAUAUGAUGGAAGAAACCUCAGAAG